GACGAACGCUGGCGGCGUGCCUAAUACAUGCAAGUCGAGCGGACCUCUUCGGAGGUCAGCGGCGGACGGGUGAGUAACACGUGGGCAACCUGCCUGUAAGACUGGGAUAACUUCGGGAAACCGGAGCUAAUACCGGAUAAUCCUUUUCCUCUCAUGUGGGAAAGCUGAAAGACGGCGCAAGCUGUCACUUACAGAUGGGCCCGCGGCGCAUUAGCUAGUUGGUGGGGUAACGGCCCACCAAGGCGACGAUGCGUAGCCGACCUGAGAGGGUGAUCGGCCACACUGGGACUGAGACACGGCCCAGACUCCUACGGGAGGCAGCAGUAGGGAAUCUUCCGCAAUGGACGAAAGUCUGACGGAGCAACGCCGCGUGAGCGAAGAAGGCCUUCGGGUCGUAAAGCUCUGUUGUCAGGGAAGAACAAGUCGGAGAGUAACUGCUCCGGCCUUGACGGUAUCUGACCAGAAAGCCACGGCUAACUACGUGCCAGCAGCCGCCGUAAAAC
rnacentral:rRNA from 1 species